UACAGAGGUCCCAAGCGUUGUUCGGAUUCACUGGGCGUAAAGGGUGCGUAGGUGGUUGGGCAAGUCUGAUGUGAAAUCUCCGGGCUUAACCCGGAAAUGGCAUUGGAAACUGCCUGGCUAGAGUGUUGGAGGGGGACUGGAAUUCUCGGUGUAGCAGUGAAAUGCGUAGAUAUCGAGAGGAACACCUGCGGCGAAGGCGGGUGCUGGGCUGAUACUGACGCUGAGGCGCGAAAGCUAGGGAGCGAACGG
rnacentral:rRNA from 1 species